rnacentral:lncRNA from 1 species
GCAUCUGCUCAGCUCCCAUGAGGCUCCACAUUGGUCUGAAGGGAAGAGGGAGCAAGAACAGGAACGGAGUGCCUAAUAACUGCUUCCAUGACAACCAGAAGGACCAAAGAGGCUCACACCCAGUGGGGCAGGCCCUGCAAAGGUGACUGCAGCACACUGGAGACGGCAUCGCCCCUUCAGCCUGGCAGCUGGAGCCUUAGGGCUCCAGUGCCCAGCUGUCCUCUCCCCAGAACUGAAGGACAAGGUGGUGGCCACAUGUAUGGAUUCUCUCUGACCCAGCCU